rnacentral:rRNA from 1 species
UACGAACUGUGCAAACGUUAUUCGGAUUCACUGGCUUAAAGGGUGCGUAGGCGGCCAUGUAAGUAGGGUGUGAAAUCCCCCGGCUUAACCUGGGAACUGACAUCUGUGACUGCAUAGCUAGAGUACGGUAGAGGGGGAUGGAAAUUCCGCGUGUAGCAGUGAAAUGCGUAGAUAUGCGGAGGAACACCGAUGCGAAGGCA